UCAAAAAUUAUAAUAUUUCCAUUUUAGGAUUAUUCUGGAUUCUGCCGUUUAGGAGUUCAAAGACGGAAUUUUGUACAGAAAUUGAGUUCCCGGAAGUACGCCUUUACGAUAAGGAUAAGGAUUUGAUGUGGGACCCGGGGUUGUUGAUAAUUUUAUAUCAUGUAUACAGGAAUAAAAAGCAUGCCAGGAGUCACGGCAAUGGAUCUUCGCCAAGUAAAAAAGUUAAUGACUGAGUACGUAUGCAGGAAUCAGAGUUGUCGAUAUAAGAAGGUCGAUUUAUCCGCUUCCGAACACCUGACGUAAUCCGAAUACCUCGUUUCAAAGAAAAUUGUUUUCUUAGGUAAUGUGCAAACUUGCAAGACUUCCUAUAAAGCAGUUCCUUAAA